CUUGACUGUAUCCUGGAAUUGGGUUCGGGCUUUUCUUGCGCAGUCUAGGUGGGAGGCUAUGAAGAUUUCCUUCCGGGGAAGUUGGAGCCAUCAGUGAGAGACCACUCUGGAGAGGCUAGAAUCCUAAUGGUGAUCCUUGAAUCAGGACACUUGACAGUUUCAGGUGGGCAGUUUUUCUGGGGCGGAAGCCUCAUAAAGGGUAACUGAGGCGCGCAAAGGUCCCCUCAGUCUGGACGGAAAUCAGACAACGAGUGUAAAGGCAAAAGGGGGCUUGACUGCAAGACCUACAAGUCGAGCAGGAGCGAAAGCUGGCCUUAGUGAUCCGACGGUACCGCGUGGAAGGGCCGUCGCUCAACGAAUAAAAGUUA
rnacentral:rRNA from 1 species